GACGAACGCUGGCGGCGUGCUUAACACAUGCAAGUCGAACGGUAAGGCCCUUCGGGGUACACGAGUGGCGAACGGGUGAGUAACACGUGGGUGAUCUGCCCUGCACUUCGGGAUAAGCCUGGGAAACUGGGUCUAAUACCGGAUAGGACUCCUGCCUGCAUGGGUGGGGGUGGAAAGCUUUUGCGGGGUGGGAUGGGCCCGCGGCCUAUCCGCUUGUUGGUGGGGGGAUGGCCUACCAAGGCGACGACGGGUAGCCGGCCUGAGAGGGUGACCGGCCACACUGGGACUGAGAUACGGCCCAGACUCCUACGGGAGGCAGCAGUGGGGAAUAUUGCACAAUGGGCGCAAGCCUGAUGCAGCGACGCCGCGUGAGGGAUGACGGCCUUCGGGUUGUAAACCUCUUUCAGCACAGACGAAGCGCAAGUGACGGUAUGUGCAGAAGAAGGACCGGCCAACUACGUGCCAGCAGCCGCAGUAA
rnacentral:rRNA from 1 species